UACGAAGGGGGCUAGCGUUGCUCGGAAUUACUGGGCGUAAAGCGCACGUAGGCGGAUCGAUCAGUCAGGGGUGAAAUCCCAGAGCUCAACUCUGGAACUGCCUUUGAUACUGUCGAUCUGGAGUGUGGAAGAGGUGAGUGGAAUUCCGAGUGUAGAGGUGAAAUUCGUAGAUAUUCGGAGGAACACCAGUGGCGAAGGCGGGUCUCUGGACAGUUCCUGACGCUGAGGCACGAAGGCCAGGGGAGCAAACGGG
rnacentral:rRNA from 1 species